rnacentral:lncRNA from 1 species
UGGAACCAAACAUUUUUAGUAAUAUUUUUGACAAGAUGAAAAUCUACAACAGUGGCCAUUUUUCAGAGCAUGAAUAUAGGAAAUCAAAGAAUAUUGGCUUUCAAGCCUCUGAGCAACUGUGAGAAGACUGUGAAAACAUCAGGUGGAAACUCUGAAACCUUUCCAUGUGUGUUAUCCUCUCUGGAGGAAACAUCACCAUCAACGUCUAUACAGCCUUUCG